rnacentral:rRNA from 1 species
ACUAGUCCACCCAAGCAAAAAGACUUUAAGUUUGCCCCCCCGAAACUAAGUGAGCUACUCUGAGACAGCCCCAGAGCCAACCCGUCCCUGUUACAAAAGGGUGGGAAGAUCUCAAAGUAGCGGUGACAUGCCUAACGAACUUAGUGAUAGCUGGUUGCUCACGAAAAGAAUCUGAGUUCUACCUAAAGCACAAACAAUAAUCAAAAAUAGAAUUUUACUUUAGAGCAACUCAAACAGGGUACAGCCUGUUUGACCCAGGAUACAACCUCCACUGAUGGGUAACCAAUUGUCCCCCCAGCCAAGUGGGCCUAAGAGCAGCCACCUUUAAAAAUGCGUCAAAGCUUAACUAACUCAAAAACAAUCCCCAAAAUUUUAUCAAACCCUCUAUUAGUACUGAGCACUUCUAUAACCUAUAGAAGAUCUUAUGUUAAAACUAGUAACAAGGAGACGCAACUCUCCUCUUCUAUACGAGCAUAAACCAGCUUGGAUAACCCACUGGAAAUUAACACCCACUAAUGGCAACCCCACAAGAAAACCCCAUUGGCCACACUGUUAACCUAACACUAGAGUAUAACAAGAAAGAUUAAAAGAAAGGGAAGGAACUCGGCAAAUAAAAAUCCCGCCUGUUUACCAAAAACAUCGCCUCUUGCCCAACUAUAAGAGGUCCAGCCUGCCCAGUGACCCACGUUCAACGGCCGCGGUAUCCUAACCACGCGAAGGUAGCGUAAUCAAUUGUCUCUUAAAUGGGGACUUGUAUGAAUGGCAUCACGAGGAUUUAACUGUCUCCCCUCUCUAAUCUGUGAAACUAAUCUCCCUGUGAAAAAGCAGGGCUAUUCCUAUAAGACGAGAAGACCCUGUGGAACUUUAAACAAGUAAUAAUUGCUCCCACCACUCUCCCCAGGACUCCCCACCCCAGAGCAUACUAACUACAAGUUUUCAGUUGGGGUGACUAUGGAGAAAAACCCAUCCUCCAUGAUGUAAACCUAAAUUAAAACCACAAGCUACAGCUUUACGUAUCAGCAAACUGGCAUUCAUUGACCCAUUUAUAUGAUCAACGAACCAAGCUACCCCAGGGAUAACAGCGCAAUCCACUUUAAGAGCACAUAUCGACAAGUGGGCUUACGACCUCGAUGUUGGAUCAGGGUACCCCGGUGGUGCAGCCGCUACUAAAGGUUCGUUUGUUCAACGAUUAAAACCCUACGU